UACGGAGGGGGCUAGCGUUGUUCGGAAUUACUGGGCGUAAAGCGCACGUAGGCGGCUGUUCAAGUCAGAGGUGAAAGCCUGGAGCUCAACUCCAGAACUGCCUUUGAAACUAGACAGCUAGAAUCAUGGAGAGGUGAGUGGAAUUCCGAGUUGUAGAGGUGAAAUUCGUAGACAUUCGGAAGAACACCAGUGGCGAAGGCGGCUCACUGGACAUGUAUUGACGCUGAGGUGCGAAAGCGUGGGGAGCAAACAGGG
rnacentral:rRNA from 1 species